AAAUACUACUUUUAGUUGUCACUACUUGCUUCCAGAUAUGUGAAACCUUCUAUAUUUUCAUUCUUUCAUCCCUAGUUAUACACUCUUCCGAACUCAUCAAUAUAUAAACUAGUUACAUUUCGAUUUGUUUUCUUAUCAUUAGUCACUUCGAUUUCGUGUUAUUAAACCCAAGCUCAGGUCAAAUCAGAAUUUAACUCAACCAAUUUACUCAUAUGGAUGUUUGCAUUCACAUAAGUAAACGAAUAAUACAUUUAAACGUAUCCAAUACACAAAUAUAAAAAACAAAGAACACUACACGCUUAUACCGCUGAUUUCUUUUAAUUAAUCUCCGGCUAAAGAUGAUUCAUAAAUAAAUUCAUAUUUAAAGUAAUCAAAUAUGUAUAACACACAUAGAUAAUGGUCCACUUAGGUAAUUAUGUCGGGUGUUGAAAUUAAGCAAUCAAAACAAAAUAGAUAUGUUGAUAUAUUCGCACGAUAUGAUUCAGUAUAUAAAGUAUUUUCUCCUUUCUUUAAUAUAUAAAAUAUAAACUUAUCUUCUCUCUUUUUGCUAACAUGCAACUCAUAUAUUCGUUUCUACAUAUUCAAGAUCUCUCUCUUUUUCUCUUUUUCCAUUCUAAAACUUUUAACUCCAAAACAGUCUCUCUUUCUUUCCUUUCCCCCAGCCUAACCAUGUCAUCUUACAAUACACCGGAUGAACCUUCUUCCUCUUCCAACUCCGGCCACCACAUGCCACCACCGGUUCAACAACAACUUAGCCGCUACGAAUCACAGAAACGCCGCGACUGGAACACGUUUCUACAAUACCUUAAAACCCUAAAUCCACCCAUAAAAAUCUCCCAAUUCGACCACACGCACGUGCUAAGCUUCCUCGACUACUUAGACCAGUUCGGUAAAACCAAAGUCCAUCACCAAGCUUGUGCCUUCUUCGGGCAACCCGAUCCACCAUCUCCUUGCACUUGUCCUCUUAAGCAAGCUUGGGGAAGCUUAGAUGCUUUGAUCGGACGGCUGAGAGCUGCUUACGAUGAACAUGGUGGUGGAUCAUCCGAUAGUAACCCGUUUGGGAACGGGUCAAUUCGGAUUCAUUUGAGGGAAAUUAGAGAGUCUCAAGCUAAGGCUCGUGGAAUCCCAUACAGGAAGAAAAAGAAAAGGAAGAAAACCGCAAACGACGCCGUUGUGAUCAAGAAAGAUUUUUCAAACUCUGGGGGGUCGUAAUCACUAGUCCCAGUGAUCACUCAUCACUCGAUCAUUUAUAUAAGAAUCAAAUAAGAUGACUAAAAAUGGAAAAGAUAGUCUCGAUCUCAGACACAGCCUACCAUUUUUGGAUACAGUUUUUGAGCCAUGAAAUUAUAUAUGCCAGUUAUAUACAUUCAAAAUCAGGAAGAAAAAGGAAAACAAAGGGGAGAACGUAGGAUAUAAAUUGUUUAUAAGGAGAAACCAAUCAAACCAUGGCCGACUUCACUUGGAACCUCCUUCAUCCAACUUCGUUGUUAGCAUUCAUUUUUCCGGGGAAGUGGCAAAAACCUCCUUCAUCCUUUGUUAAAUGCAAUGUGGGAUCAUCUUGGGAUGAGAGUUCAAAAAUCGGAGGGGGUGCUUGUAUUGUACGUGAUGAGAAAGGUUGGUUUUGUUCCACAGCAGGUCUUUUUCUCAAACUGAAUCUUCCUCCCAAGCUAACUUGGUAGCACAGUGGGCUGCAGCAGCCAUGUGCGACCUCAAGCUUUAAAAGGUAAUUAUGGAGUUCUCGUCUUCAGAAGUCAAAAAAUCUAUGGAGCAUUCACUUGUGUCCUUAGGCGAUUAUCAAAGCUGUUCCUUUGCGCUAUAUAAUAUACAUUCCAUUGUGGAAGGCAGUUUGAAUUUUGUCCCGUUCUCCUGUAACAACUUAGCCAAUAUGAUUACGAGAGAUCAUAGACAUCAGUCGUAUGUAGUAGCUCUUCAUGGUCCUGUGUGGUUGGCAUCUCUGAUUCGCCAGGAAGCAUCAGCUUAAGGAGUUCCAUGUUCUGAUGGGUAGCUGUGCUUUGGUUUCCUUUCUUUAAGGCUCUGUUUUUUUUCUCUCCUAUUGGAGUUGGUUUUAGUUCUGCUCGAUACUCUAUGUUGUUUAUCCCUUGUCGUUUGGCUGGGACAGAACUUUAUUAUCCUUAAUGAAAAAAAAAAGAGUUACAGCUACCGACGCACUUUGAAAAGAACAUGUUAUCAUUGAUGUUAGAGGCAGAAUUCAGCCUGCUUCAUACCCGGUCCGAGCCCGAGUCAAAAUUCUCCAGACUCACUACAAAAUAACGGGCUCACAAAAAUCUAAGGCCCAUGCCAAGCUCAACAAACGGUUCAUGCCGAGC